AAUAUGUUAGUCCAACAAGUAUGUUCGUUUGCGCUCAAAUUUGACAGUCAGGCUCAGUUUAACUUAAAAGAACAAAGAAAUUUUAAUCUUUCAGUUCCGACUAUUUUUUAUCCCCGAAAGCUCUACCGAACUGAAAUCUCUAGCAGAUAGCAGUCAGAUUUUAUUUUUCACUUUCCGGAUAUCAGAAUGACAUGAAACUUUAAAUCUAAGCUCAUAAAAAUAAUUCUGACAUAUUUUUCAGUUUUCAUAAUUUUCUGAUACUGUAAAUUUUUCUGCUAAAAUAUCAGUCUCGUUUCUCACAGAAAAUUCUAAAUCUCCUGUUUUUAUUCCGAUUUCAGCAUAAGUCAUUUCCAACUUAUACUUACUUCUUUAAGGCCAAUAAAAAUAGUACAUUACACUAUUUUUAUUUACACUUAAUUUUGUAUUAAAAUNAUAUGAAAUUAGUUUAUUUAUAGUUUAUUAAAAUUUAAAAAUAGAUCUAUUUGAUUAAAUUAUUAUGUGGACCAAUUUUUAAUAUUUUAGAUAAAUCUAGCAUUUUGUAUGAGAUUUAAGAAAAAAAAAAAAACUUUGAAAUUACUUUGGGCCAUACCUUUGAUUUGUUUUUCCUUUAGGCCUAUUUUUUUAUUAUCCUCAACUCUCCCUUUCAGUCAUUUCUUUUCUUUUCAGUCAUUUCUUUUCUUCUCACAUUUCUUUCUCUAUUUUUUUCUUUUCUAUUUUUCUCUUCCCUUUUCUUAUUAAAGUUUUUCCUCGAAUUUCUUUUUGUCAAUUUCUUCUAUUUCUAUUUUGAUCACUUCGAUCUUAGGUGAAAAGGAAAAGAAAUAGUAAAUUGAAGGUGUACUUAUUAUGUAGGUAAAAAAAUUUAUAAUUUAAUUUUUAAAAAUAUUUUAAAUAUUUCUAACUUGUAAAUAGGAUUGUAAAAUGGGUUGCCCAGCUAGGCACCACUCGGGGCUGGGCCGUGGCCGGGCACGGCUGCUGUAACAUUCGUGUCGGGCCGGUCCGAUCCAAAUUUUUGGGGUGUG
rnacentral:lncRNA from 1 species